rnacentral:rRNA from 1 species
GUGGGUGCAAUCUUGCACAAUGGAGGAAACUCUGAUGCAGCGAUGCCGCGUGAGUGAAGAAGGCCUUUGGGUUGUAAAGCUCUUUUGUAGGGGAAGAUAAUGACUGUACCCUAAGAAUAAGGUCCGGCUAACUUCGUGCCAGCAGCCGCGGUAAUACGAAGGGACCUAGCGUAGUUCGGAAUUACUGGGCGUAAAGCGCGCGUAGGCCGUUGAGUUAGUUAAUUGUGAAAUCCCAAAGCUUAACUUUGGAACUGCAAUUAAAACUGCUUCGACUAGAGUUUGAUAGAGGAAAGCGGAAUACAUAGUGUAGAGGUGAAAUUCGUAGAUAUUAUGUAGAACACCAGUUGCGAAGGCGGCUUUCUGGAUCAACACUGACGCUGAGGCGCGAAAGUAUGGGUAGCAAAGAGGAUUAGAUACCC